rnacentral:rRNA from 1 species
GAACGCUGGCGGCGUGCCUAAUACAUGCAAGUCGAGCGAACCAAUUGAAAGCCUAGCUUUCAUGAGGUUAGCGGCGGACGGGUGAGUAACACGUGGGUAACCUGCCCUAUAGACUGGGAUAACUCGCGGAAACGCGUGCUAAUACCGGAUAANACAUCAAAGUGCAUGCUUUGAUGUUGAAAGAUGGUUCUGCUAUCACUAUAGGAUGGGCCCGCGGCGCAUUAGCUUGUUGGUGGGGUAACGGCCUACCAAGGCGACGAUGCGUAGCCGACCUGAGAGGGUGAUCGGCCACACUGGGACUGAGACACGGCCCAGACUCCUACGGGAGGCAGCAGUAGGGAAUCUUCCACAAUGGGCGAAAGCCUGAUGGAGCAACGCCGCGUGAGCGAAGAAGGUCUUCGGAUCGUAAAGCUCUGUUGUAAGGGAAGAACAAGUGCAGUAGUAACUGGCUGCACCU